rnacentral:tRNA from 1 species
GGGUUGGUAGCUCAGUCGGUAGAGCAACGGCCUUUUAAGCCGAUGGUCGCGGGUUCGAAUCCCGCCCAACCCACCA